ensembl:scaRNA
UUUGCAGCUUUGUGAAGCUGCCCCUGGUGAAUUCAGUCACUUGCGGGCCAAACAAAGCUGCAGAGAGCAUCUCAAAGAAUGAAAAGGCGUGGCUCCCCGAGGGUUGGGGGUUCCACGUGCGAUCUUCUUUGGACAAAGUCCUGCUUUCCACGGUGGCGACCGUCCGGCGCAGUGGCCGUCGCUGAUCUAGAAGCAGGAAGAGUAAAAGCCAGGCAGCUGGAUAUUGUUUGAAAUUGGGAAAGCAGUUCCUGUCAGACACUGUCAGCUGUCACAUUU